AUANCNGGGAUUGCCCCAGUAACGGCGAGUGAAGCGGCAACAGCUCAAAUUUGAAAUCUGGCCCCAGGCCCGAGUUGUAAUUUGCAGAGGAUGCUUUUGGCGCGGUGCCUUCCGAGUUCCCUGGAACGGGACGCCAUAGAGGGUGAGAGCCCCGUACGGUUGGACACCAAGCCUUUGUAAAGCUCCUUCGACGAGUCGAGUAGUUUGGGAAUGCUGCUCAAAAUGGGAGGUAUAUUUCUUCUAAAGCUAAAUAUAGGCCAGAGACCGAUAGCGCACAAGUAGAGUGAUCGAAAGAUGAAAAGCACUUUGAAAAGAGGGUUAAACAGCACGUGAAAUUGUUAAAAGGGAAGCGCUUGUGACCAGACUUGCGUCCGGUGAAUCACCCAGCUCUCGCGGCUGGGGCACUUCGCCGGCACAGGCCAGCAUCAGCUUGCCGUCGGGGACAAAAGCUUCAGGAACGUAGCUCUCUUCGGGGAGUGUUAUAGCCUGUUGCACAAUACCCUUCGGCGGGCUGAGGUACGCGCUCCGCAAGGAUGCUGGCGUAAUGGUCAUCAGCGACCCGUCU
rnacentral:rRNA from 1 species